GCACCGGUAGCUCAGUGGUAGAGCGUGGGAUUGCAGAUCCUAAGGUCAUGUGUUCGACCCACAUUCGGUGCU